UCAUUCACUCUCUCUCUGAUCGGCAAUCUCCGCAAACUGGUUCCCUUUCCAUCGCCGCCACUCAGCACUUCCGACCGCCGCGACAUCACCGCCGAUGGUCCAUCACCAGGUAACAGCGGCUCAGAACCGAAGAAAAUCUCUCUCUGUCCGAAAAUCUUCCGGAGGAAACGAACCCUCUCAGUUGCCAUCCAACACAAUCCGACGCCGCAGAUUGUCGGAUUGCAUACUUGCGCUCGACUCUUACCGGUUCUGCUUCGUUUUCCGGCGAAGAAAGCUUGAAGGACUUGGAUUUUGUUCGAGGCUUGUCCACUGGUGUAAACCACCAGUGACGGCUUUCUUUAUUGAUUUCAGGCUGUAGUAGCCGAUUUCUGCUCACGCGAUCCACUAUUCUCGAGUUGUGCGGUUUCACCCACGUUUUACUCUGUAUACUGGCCUGAGACCUCGAAGAGCCUCAUUCUUGCUCGAUCUUCUUUUCGUCGUGGACGAUCCUCACCACUGAAGAAUCUAAGAACAUUAUUCCUCAAUCUGCACAUCGUUUGAAGCUAAGGCUCUAGGUGUAUAUCACCGCAAAGCUUUGAGAUAUGGAUGAGACGAUGAAACAAUUCCAGCAAAGUCUAGUUGAGCUUGAAACUGAAGCAGAGAGACUGCUUUUAGCUCGAAAUCAGCUUGUGGAAAAUGACAAACUGCGGAAUGCAAAUAGGGAAGCACUCACGGCAUUAAGAAAGAAGGCUCGCACAACAAAAACUAGUGUUCCGUCGCCUUUUGAGUCGCUUAUGAAGGAUAUUGGUGGCUCGGGAUCAAGGCCCUUGGUGCAUGAGGUGUGUUCAACAUGUGGUAAUUACGACUCAAAGGAGCCCAUGUGGAUGAUGUUCCCUGGAACUGAUAUUUUUGCAAGCAUUCCAUUUCACGCAGCUCAUUCUAUUUUGGAAGAAGCUUCCUUUCUUGUGAUGCAGAACAAUCCCAGCUGGAUUUUGAGGCAAAGAGAUUGCAGAGCUAUGUAAAGGAGAAGUCCAUUUUCAUUUCAGAUAGAGGUGCACUUGCUGAUAAGAUCAGUCCUGGUGUACUUAGAUCUCUGGUGACCUUAACAGACAAACAAAAAGUAGUGGAACAUUCUUAAUCAUUCUCUUAGUGAAAAGCCUGGAGUAACAGCAAGGAAGCUUUUGAUGGAAGGCUCUGAUCAUAAGCAUGGAAGCAACUGCUGGGAUGCAUUUCCUGAAGAUGUUUUCCGGCUUUGGUAUUUUCUUUUUGGAUGGCUGCUUACAAAUGAUGAGUCGAUGGAGCUUAUAAAACUGGUUAGGCUAUGCCCGUGAAGAACAAAUUUAAAAGACUGAAGGCUAGGGGGAGAGUUGAGUAGGCUAGAUCUAAGGGUUAAACAUUGUCAACUCUGUUAACUGUCAUGCAAUUUCAAUGACAGGACAGUAAAUGUGAGAGUUUAGAUUGCAA